rnacentral:rRNA from 1 species
UCCUACGGGAGGCAGCAGUGGGGAAUUUUGGACAAUGGGGGAAACCCUGAUCCAGCCAUGCCGCGUGCGGGAAGAAGGCCUUCGGGUUGUAAACCGCUUUUGGUCGGAAAGAAAAGGCGCCACCUAAUACGGGGCGCUCUUGACGGUACCGGCAGAAUAAGCACCGGCUAACUACGUGCCAGCAGCCGCGGUAAUACGUAGGGUGCGAGCGUUAAUCGGAAUUACUGGGCGUAAAGCGUGCGCAGCGGUUCUCCAAGUCCGUUGUGAAAGCCCCGGGCUCAACCUGGGAAUGGCAGUGGAAACUAGGGGACUUGAAUCUGGCAGAGGGGGGUGGAAUUCCACGUGUAGCAGUGAAAUGCGUAGAGAUGUGGAGGAACACCGAUGGCGAAGGCAGCCCCCUGGGCUGAGAUUGACGCUCAGGCACGAAAGCGUGGGGAGCAAACAGGAUUAGAUACCCUGGUAGUCCACGCCCUAAACGAUGAUAACUCGAUGUUGGCGAUACACUGUCAGCGUCCAAGCGAAAGCAUUAAGUUAUCCACCUGGGGAGUACGACCGCAAGGUUGAAACUCAAAGGAAUUGACGGGGGCCCGCACAAGCGGUGGAGUAUGUGGUUUAAUUCGAUGCAACGCGAAGAACCUUACCUGGCCUUGACAUGUCUGGAAUCCUGCAGAGAUGCGGGAGUGCCUUCGGGAAUCAGAACACAGGUGCUGCAUGGCUGUCGUCAGCUCGUGUCGUGAGAUGUUGGGUUAAGUCCCGCAACGAGCGCAACCCUUGUCCUUAGUUGCCAGCACGUAAUGGUGGGAACUCUAAGGAGACUGCCGGUGACAAACCGGAGGAAAGUGGGGAUGACGUCAAGUCCUCAUGGCCCUUACGGCCAGGGCUACACACGUACUACAAUGGUCGGUACAGAGGGUUGCAAUACCGCGAGGUGGAGCCAAUCCCAGAAAGCCGAUCCCAGUCCGGAUCGAAGUCUGCAACUCGACUUCGUGAAGUCGGAAUCGCUAGUAAUCGCGGAUCAGCUAUGCCGCGGUAAAUACGUUCCCGGGCCUUGUACACACC